ACUGCUUUAAUUUUGGGAGCACCAUUUGCGUGUCUGCAUUUUCUUCCAUCUUCUUCGUCUCUGUGUCUGUUUGCUUUCUGAGAGUGAAGACAGUAAACUAAGAGAUCGAGUUAUUCACCAUGGGAAGAGCUCCAUGUUGUGACAAAGCUAAUGUCAAGAAAGGCCAAUGGUCUCCUGAGGAAGAUGAAGCUCUCAAGACUUACCUUGAGACUCAUGGAAGUGGUGGCAAUUGGAUUCAUCUGCCUCAAAAAGCUGGGCUUAGGAGAUGUGGGAAGAGCUGCCGUCUGCGGUGGUUGAAUUAUCUGAGGCCAGACAUCAAACACGGACACUUCACUGAAGAGGAGGACAACAUUAUUUGUAACCUCUACACCCAAAUGGGAAGCCGAUGGUCAUACAUAGCUGCUCAAAUGCCUGGAAGAACAGACAAUGAUGUGAAGAACUAUUGGAACACCAAACUGAAGAAGAAGUACUUUCUGCCUGCAAAACCAAGUCUUACAGCAAAAGAGAGCAAAAACCCAAACGCCUCCCCACUCACACUGCCUUGUGCUCCAAAACUUGAAACCAGUGAUGAGUUUCAGACACAAAUUCAUCCCACAUUGAUGGUAUCUGAUUCUAAUUCUGGAUUGGAUGCCUAUGAUCAGUGCUUAAGCUUGAACCCAAAUCCAUUGUACAACUCCCAGCUCAUGGGUUUUUCACAAUUUGGUGCAACUUCUGUUUCAAUGUCUCAAGAUGGUUCGAGUGUUUCAGAUUCUUCUUCAAUUGCUGCAGUUGACAAUGGUUUACUACAUGGAAAUAACUUUAUAAAUGAGGAUGCUGCUGGGAUAUCAAUGGAUUUUGGAUUUGGAGGAUUGCCUUAUGAUGUUGUCAAUCAGAUGUGGUUUGGAGAAAAAGCCAGUGAAGUUGUUCACCCAACUUGCUCCACAAGUUUAGAUGCUGAUUUCUUUUUCUGCUGAUACUAAAUUCAAGUCGCAAAGACGGAAUCAAAAUGCUUAUCUUCAACCAAUUGACAGUGAAGAAAAAUGGGGAGCAAACACUAAUCAAAUAGCUAGCUAGGGAAGGUCUUCUUUAACCUUUUGUCUUAGUUAUUUUCUUCGGUUCUGUUGAACAUAAUGUAAAUCAAAUUUCAAUGAAUGACUAGUACUGUUGUGAU